rnacentral:lncRNA from 10 species
ACUUGCUUGGGGGGAACCAGCUGCCAUGUUGUGAGAUGCUCAAGCAGCUGUAUGGAGGAGCCCAUGUGGAAAAAAACUGAGCACCCCUCACAACCGAUAUUCCCUUACCAGGAGUGUGGCAAGCCUCCCUGGAAGCAGACUCUUCAGCACCAGUCAAGCUUUCAGAUGCUGCAGCCGUGGGCAAUGACUUUGCUGCAAUCUUAUGAGAGACUAAGCCAGAACCACCCAGCUAAGUGGCUCCCACAUUCAUGACUCACGAAAACUGUGUGAGGACACAUGGUGAAUAGAGGGCUUGCUGGCAAUUGGUUCACAAGCUGAGGAGGGCACAAAGGCCAGAUAUUUCAUCUGAAGAGUUCACAGGCUAUUAAAAACAUUAACAAGAUUUUACUGCCUCACCUAGGAUGGAAAUAAUUGCUUUAAAGUGAACUGGCAUUAAAGUGAACACGUCAAGACUACCUACUUGGAAGCUACAGGAGACAGAAACAGAAAACACGACUCCUGAAUCAUGUUCCAUUACUUUAAUCGCUAAACACUGCUCCGUUUAAGCUAAAGAGAUAUAAUGGUACAUUUGACAGAUGCCUUCACAUCAAGAUGAGAUAGGGCCCUGAAAGUCGCAUGUUGAACCUUUCUUACCUUCUACGAGGAUGUCACUCAAAAUCUUUUCUCAAUUCCUCUUCAUUGGCUGAUUACACAAUACAGAGUCAUUCCUAGUGCAGCCCAACCCUCUCCCCAGGUGAACCUUGCUUUACACAAAACACCUGUGUAUAAAUAACCUGGUAAUCAUUCAAGUUGUAUUCUAAAUGCACCACAGAGAUCUCACUUUUUAAGGAACACUGAAAUAAAUGCUUUAGUGAAGCAGAAUAGCCCUUUUGUAAUGUAAACAAUAUAAGCCUAGAUAAAGCUUCCAAUUUACCUAAGUUUAGAUUUUUGCAUAUUGGGUUUCAUUAAAGCAGCAUAUAUCUGUAAAAGAAAAUAUUGUAAGCCUCAGCCCUUUGUCAAUCAUAAUGGUUUUUAAAAAUCCCAUUAGUUUGAAUAAUUAAAUACCAAAAAAUACUUUCCGCCUGUAUUAAAAUUUCUGAUUUUAAUAGAAAAACCAACAGAAUGACUGUUUUUAAGCUUCUAGUUCAAUCUUAUUUUAAAAUGACAAACAGUAUAAUGACUAACAUCAUGCAGAAAGUACACUGCAGAGUGGGGUAGUAACUAACAAAAUAUGGCCAUGAUCUACCUUUAGGACUAUAGAGGACAAAUAAAACGGAAUAGAACCAGCUGGGCCCAGUGGCUCACGCCUGUAAUCCCAGCACUUUGGGAGGCUGAGGCGGAUGGAUCACCUGAGGUCAGGAGUUCAGGACCAGCCUGACCAACAUGGUGAAACCCCGUCUCUACUAAAAAUACAAAAAUUAGCCAGGUAUGGUGGCACGUGCCUGUAAUCCCAGCUACCUGGGAGGCUGAGGCAGGAGAAUUGCUGGAACCUGGGAGGUGGAGGCUGCAGUGAACCGAGAAAGCGCCAUUGCACUCCAGUCUGGGUGACAGAGCAAGACUCAGUCAAAAAAAAAAAAAAAAAAAAAAAAAAACAAGAAAAGAAAAAAGAAAAAAAAGGAAUAGAACCAGGUCUGAGUGCUAAAACCUUGGAGAAGGUAUAGUAGCAGCUAAACAGGCAAUGUGUUAUUGUUACAACUUGACAACUACGCAGGUCCACAAAGGAAUGGAAGCUGAGAAAUGUGGAGUAACAUGUUCAAUGUCACAUGGGUUCUAAGCAGAGAGGUCAGAAUUCAAACUCAGAUUUCUGCAUCUGAAAUAAGUGUUUUUAACCCCUCUGCCUACCAUUUGAUUGAAACUUAAAUUGUAGAUGUUUGAACAUUUUGAUUGACAAGGAUGGAUUUUCAAAUGGUUUGACCGAAAACCUCUCUCUACCACACAGAAAUCAAAGUGGGAAAAGGUAGCCAUGACCCACGGUGACCUGAGUCUGUUUUAUAGGACCAGAAAGAGCCCCAGGCUGUUUUUUCUCUUCUGCCCCACACGUUUCCAUGCUACACCCACCCACUUUUGGAUGUACUCUGCACAGUUGCCUUUUUAUUCAGGAAUCUUUAGAGGGCACCAUCUGUUCACCAGGCCCUGUGUGACGCGCUGGAGUUACCAACCUGAGUACAACUUAGUCCCUGACCUUGAGAAGUCCGCAUUAUUACCCUUCAGGGAACAAAGCAAGAGUAUAGAAAUUGCAUGAGCGGAAAAUCAUUUCAGGGAUGGAUCCAGCUGCUUUUGCACAUGUGAGAAUGGCCAUGCCAACUUAGGGUACCCCCUCAAAGAGGGGGUGAAGGAAGGGCACCUGAGCCCCACUGCCUGUCCCUCCCCAUCCUGUGUCCUCUCCAGGACAUGCUGAUUGCCACUGUCUCUUCACCCCGGCAGCUAAAGAAAGUUGCAUGGGACGUGGUGGGGAAGGAAAUCAAAAGUCUAGAACCCACACGGAAUGCUGGUCAUUCUUCAUCUCUCAUUUGUCGCUCUAACAACAUGUCAUUUCACGGCUCAAGUGAAGCCACGUUUCACUGUAGUUUAUUCUCUCAGAAGCUGAAGCCCCACGCUCUGGUUUCUAUCCCACGUACUGUAUUUAAUUUUAGCAAAAUCCUAGUAAAUAAAAUAAUUUGGAAAAAUAUGGAA